GCUCGGGUAGCUCAGUUGGUUAGAGCGCUCGCCUGAAGAGCGAGAGGUCGGCAGUUCGACCCUGCCCCCGAGCA
rnacentral:tRNA from 1 species